rnacentral:misc_RNA from 1 species
GCUAGAAAUGGUUGGAGGAAGAAAAAACAUUUGCUUUGUGGAAGAUGAUAAUACUAGUGAGAUGUAUUUUCCAGAUUGGAUAUACAAGAGUCUUGAACAAGGUGAAAAGAUUGGACUAUUUGGGAUCAACGAUGAAGAGGAAAAUCAAAUAGCAAGAAAAAUGAUCCUAGUGAGUUUGUGGUGCAUACAAACGAAUCCCUCAAACCGUCCUUCAAUGGGUAAAGUUGUAGAAAUGUUGCAAGGAAGCAUUGCAUCCUUGCCAAUUCCACCCAGACCGAUCUUGGUUUCCGCAUCAAGAUCACUUCCGCGAGAAACGAUAAAUUCUUCAACUUCAACAACUGGCAUAACAAUGUGAGUCUCCCGAGUAAAGAAAUGUAUGCUUCUUUGAACUCUAUAUAAGAGCUUGUUAGUCUCUAUUGCCCUUAGUGAUUGCUUAAUUGGUUGCACCCUCUCUUUAUGACUCAAUUGUAUUUUUUAAGGAAAAACCACUGGAAUCAUAAUGUUUUCAAUUUCACUUAAUAUUUUGUUUCUUUGUCCAUUAAUGAGUUAGUACUAGAGAUUUGAGUUCUAAACACUGACUUCUUACAUGGAGUUUUGAAUGAGGAAGUACGCAUGGAGCUUCCACUGGUUUCGAAGACAACAAUAAAUCAAGUCUGCAAACUUUAAAAAGUCUAUACAUGGUUUGAAAUAGGCAAGCAGACAGUGGCAUGCAAAAUUAUUAGAUGCUCUCAUAACAGGGUUUUUAGCAAGCUCCUUCUGAUUCGUCCUUGUAAGUCUACUGACUCAACAUUCAAUGCUCUACUUAUUUAUGUUGUUGAUCCUAGCUAGCUAGUAACGAUAUUUCAUAGAUUCAGCAAAUAAAAUUUUAUAUUCGUGACACUUUCAAAAUCAAAGAAAUAGGUUGAUUAAAAUGCUUUCUGGGAAUUGAGGUUGCAAGGUCUUUCACAAGCAUUAAUCAAUCACAUAGAAAAUGCACUUUUGAAUUUCUUGCAGACAUUGAUUUUUUGGGAUGUAAGCCAUCCCAGUCUCCAAUGAGUUACACCAAUUAAAGUAAAUUAAAAUAUAUUAUAAGUCAUCAGUUAAAAGAAAAUUGAAUUUAACCAAAAACAAAAAUAUUCAUUAGUUA